CGAUACUUUUAAAAUCGGUUAUUUAAGAAUCAAUUUUUUAUACUACAUACAAAAUUGGUUCUUAAAUAACCGAUUUUAAAAGUAGCA
rnacentral:miRNA from 1 species